UCCCCGUUUUGACUUUCUUUUGGAAUCGUCUUCUUUUAAAUAAGAUCUUCUCCCUUGUUCUUCCCUCUUCCUAUGAUGAAGACCUGCUAAGUGAUUUCCGAAAGCUCCCACUAUGACUAAAAAGCUCCCAAUAGGCCACGUAGCAGCUUAAGCUUAUAUUAUAAUAAAGUAAGUAGGAAGGAGCGAAAGCUACUCGACCAGACGGGAGAGGCGACCAAAGGAAGCUGGUUCACCUUCUCUCCUCCGUUACAACAUAGGUCGUUCCAAUCCUGGAUGAAAAUAUUCACGACCCUAUUCUUGAGAAGUUGUUCUUGCAAAAAAUAGGGCAAGAACUAAGUAACACCAUAGACAUGCAUAUAAUAGCGGAGUAUCACAAAAUAGGUAAGUAAAUCAUGGAAUGAUUCCAUGUUUGAGACGAAUUUGAAGAGUAUUAGGGGAGGAGGCUAGGUUUUUUGCGGAGAUGAGAG
rnacentral:lncRNA from 1 species